rnacentral:piRNA from 1 species
UCCCAUAAUGUCUGACAUGCCCUUCGUGUU